UNGGAGAGGAAAGUGGAAUUCNUAGUGUAGCGGUGAAAUGCGUAGAUAUUAGGAAGANCACCAGUGGCGAAGGCGACUUUCUGGACGAAAACUGACGCUGAGGCGCGAAAGCCAGGGGAGCGAACGGGAUUAGAUACCCCGGUANUCCUGGCCGUAAACGAUGGGUACUAGGUGUAGGAGGUAUCGACCCCUUCUGUGCCGGAGUUAACGCAAUAAGUACCCCGCCUGGGGAGUACGACCGCAAGGUUGAAACUCAAAGGAAUUGACGGGGGCCCGCACAAGCGGUGGAGUAUGUGGCUUAAUCCGACGCGACGCGAAGAACCUUACCAGGUCUUGACAUUGAUGGACAGAACCAGAGAUGGUUCCUCUUCUUCGGAAGCCAGAAAACAGGUGGUGCACGGUUGUCGUCAGCUCGUGUCGUGAGAUGUUGGGUUAAGUCCCGCAACGAGCGCAACCCCUAUCUUAUGUUGCCAGCACGUAAAGGUGGGAACUCAUGAGAGACUGCCGCAGACAAUGCGGAGGAAGGCGGGGAUGACGUCAAAUCAUCAUGCCCCUUAUGACCUGGGCUACACACGUACUACAAUGGGAGUUAAUAGACGGAAGCGAGAUCGCGAGAUGGAGCAAACCCGAGAAACACUCUCUCAGUUCGGAUCGUAGGCUGCAACUCGCCUACG
rnacentral:rRNA from 1 species